CCUACGGGGGGCUGCAGUGGGGAAUAUUGGACAAUGGGCGAAAGCCUGAUCCAGCCAUGCCGCGUGUGUGAAGAAGGCCUUCGGGUUGUAAAGCACUUUCAGUGGGGAAGAAAGCCUUGGGGCUAAUACCCUCGAGGAAGGACAUCACCCACAGAAGAAGCACCGGCUAACUCCGUGCCAGCAGCCGCGGUAAUACGGAGGGUGCGAGCGUUAAUCGGAAUUACUGGGCGUAAAGCGCGCGUAGGCGGUCUGAUAAGCCGGUUGUGAAAGCCCCGGGCUCAACCUGGGAACGGCAUCCGGAACUGUCAGGCUAGAGUGCAGGAGAGGAAGGUAGAAUUCCCGGUGUAGCGGUGAAAUGCGUAGAGAUCGGGAGGAAUACCAGUGGCGAAGGCGGUCUUCUGGACUGACACUGACGCUGAGGUGCGAAAGCGUGGGUAGCAAACAGGAUUAGAUACCCCGGUAGGC
rnacentral:rRNA from 1 species